ACCUGGGUGGCUCAGUGGUUGAGCAUCUGCCUUUGGCUCAGGUCAUGAUCCCAGGGGUCCUGGGAUCAAGUCCCACAUCAGGUU
rnacentral:tRNA from 1 species